rnacentral:rRNA from 1 species
AACGAACGCUGGCGGCGUGCCUAACACAUGCAAGUCGAGCGCGAAAAGGGCAACCUGAGUAGAGCGGCGCACGGGUGCGUAACACGUGGGUAAUCUGCCUCAAAGUCUGGGAUAACCUUCCGAAAGGUUGGCUAAUACCAGAUAAGCUCACGGGGUCUUCGGAUCCUGAGGGAAAAGGUGGCCUCUAUUUAUAAGCCAUCACUUUGAGAUGAGCCCGCGGCCCAUCAGCUAGUUGGCGGGGUAACGGCCCACCAAGGCUACGACGGGUAGCUGGUCUGAGAGGACGAUCAGCCACACUGGAAC